rnacentral:misc_RNA from 1 species
CUUGCUACUUGGAUAACCGUAGUAAUUCUAGAGCUAAUACAUGCGUCAAACCUCGACUUUUUCGGAAGAGGUGUAUUUAUUAGAUGGAAACCAAUGCGGGGCAACCCGGAUUCAGGUGAUUCAUAAUAACUUUCGGAUCGAUCUUCGGAUCGAU